CCUUCCUACAUUUUCUCAGAUUCUCUAGGAACAGAGUUGGCUGCUUAUAAAGCAGUAACCGGCAUAUUAAUUUUCUUGAUCUUGGGUGUCAUUCUGGUUCAGUUCAGUUGGCCCACGUACAAAGCCAUCCGCAAAAGAUUUUCACAAAAACGGCAGAGUCGCUGGAUCGGCCCGACUCAGAGUGUGUGCUAUCACAGAGGUCAAGGUCCUGCAACCAAAAACACAGAGAAGAGACAGUCCUUUCCUGGUUUGGAGAGGCUGACGGUAAACCAGAGCAGAGAGCCCUCAUCCAACAGAAACAGUGACUAUGACUCAUACGGCUACAGCUGAAGGCCUGUGCUCACAAAAGACUUACUGACCCUAAGCACAACUCUCUCGUCAUCAACAAUCAGCAGAGUGUUCUACAUUACACUGCUUCGGUUGUUUGGCAAGUCAAGAAAGGUGUACAUAACCACAAAAGCGCUUACUUAGCAGGCUUCAUUUUAUUCUUUUUUUAUGUUUUGUAAUGACUUGAUUUUGCUAUGUUUGUUUGUUUUUUGGUAUUGUUUUUAAAUAGUCA
rnacentral:lncRNA from 1 species